ACAAAGGAUGGCAAUCUAUGUUGGCGAUUGGUUUAUCCCAAAGCAAAGAAAGGAAAGGAUGCGGUCAUAAAAGCUGUGAAGGAAUCCUCUAGCUACAAGUAUGUGGAUACACUGAUGGAAUCUUUAAUGCAAAGACGAUACCAGCUGGAUAAUUACGGAGUUGCAAGAACAGAUGUCAAGCAGACAAUGUCAAGCAUGCCUGGAUUCUAAACAAAUGACUAUCACAGAGUGGAGAAAACAGAAGCUGUGCAAAGACACAGAUCACGAUUCAAUGCUAUUUGAUAAGCUGUUUAUGUGAUGAAUAUCAAGUGAUGACCAAAACAAGAUAUUAUAGUGUUAUGAACAUUUUUAUUAAUUUAUUUAUGGUCUAGCAUAUUGAAAGCCGGUGUAGAUUUCUGAUGGGAAACUGUCUCUAAUCUUCACAACAACACAUGCAGGAAGCACACGGCGAUUUCUUUGACCAAUCCAUCUCGCAAAUCGUCUAUAAGCAACAUAUCUGUAAAGGAAGAAACAGCAAAGAAAUUGUAAAUAUUCAAUACAUCAUGCAUAUUUUAUGGAAACAUUACUGUUUCAAUGUGUUUGCAUCAGAUGAUUGUUGUUCUAAUAAUUAUCUUUAGAAACUAAAACGUGACCAUGUUUAAUUGUUUAUUAAAUAAAGGUCAUUUUGUGAGGGCACAUGUACCUUGAAAA